rnacentral:rRNA from 1 species
CGUCUCAAUCAGUAGACUCCGUGACUAGCA